rnacentral:rRNA from 1 species
AUUGAACGCUGGCGGCAGGCCUAACACAUGCAAGUCGAGCGCGAAAACACUUACGGUGUGAGUAGAGCGGCGGACGGGUGAGUAACGCGUAGGAAUCUACCUAGUAGUCGGGGGACAACUCGGGGAAACUCGAGCUAAUACCGCAUAAGCCCUACCGGGGGAAAGCGGGGGAACCUUCGGGCCUCGCGCUAUUAGAUGAGCCUGCGUUGGAUUAGCUAGUUGGUGGGGUAAAGGCCCACCAAGGCGACGAUCCAUAGCUGGUCUGAGAGGAUGAUCAGCCACACCGGGACUGAGACACGGCCCGGACUCCUACGGGAGGCAGCAGUGGGGAAUAUUGCGCAAUGGGCGGAAGCCUGACGCAGCCAUGCCGCGUGUGUGAAGAAGGCCUUAGGGUUGUAAAGCACUUUCAAUUGGGAGGAAAAGCUAACGACUAAUACUCGUUAGCCUUGACGUUACCUUUAGAAGAAGCACCGGCUAACUCCGUG